UUGUGUAUUUAAUGUAUGGCCUAAGACAACUCUUCUUCCAUUGUGACCCAGAAAUGCCAAAAGGUUGGACACCCCUGCUAGAGCAUCCUUUCUUAAUGUUCCCCAAGAGUUGUUCCCUCACCCUUCUCUUCUGUUAAUCUCUUCUAGAACUUCACAAUUUGCUGUCUUGGUCCUUAUAGCACUGACUAAAAAAUUAUGUCCAUUUUUAGCCCUGGCCAGAUAGCUCAGUUAGUUAGAGCAUCCUUCCAUAUAUCAAAAAGUUUCAGGUUCAGUCCCCAGUCAGGACACAUACCUAAGUUUGAUCACAGGUUGGGGUGCCUAUAGGAGGCAAUCGAUUGGUGUUUCUCUCUCACAUUGAUAUUUUUUUCUCUCUCUCCCUUCUGCUCUUUCUAAAAUCAAUAAAAAUAUAUCUUCAGGUGAUGAUUAAAAAAAAAGAUAUGUCCAUUUUUACUCCCUCCUUCUCAAUCCCCACCAGCAUUCCUUAGAACCAAUUUAUAUCCCAUCCCCAGUACUCAGGAUCCUUUUACACUAAGCCAUUUUCUCCCUUGCAUCUAAUGUUUCUAGCUCUUCUCAGCCUUCCUAGACUAAGCAAGGGGAUGGUGUUCCCAGCUCUUGUCCUGAGGUGGGCUCUCAUGUUGUUUGAAGGACAAAUGCUCUAUGAAGACCUGACUGUAUUUUUCUCAAGAGAAAAGUGUGAGUCUGCAACCUGCCCAGGUGUCCCUCAGCAGAGACACCACCCAGGAGUGUUUUGAGGGUAAGGCCUUAAUGGGAGGGUAAGGCAAGAUUGAGAAUAAACAGCAACUAAGUCUUGAAACUAUAGGACUUGAAGAGCUUGCCCUAGAAUACUCCUCCACUGCUGUGCCUUUUGAAAGGAAAAUAUCAGGUGGAACUUCUGCUUUCAAGAAAAAUGUCAUAAGCCUUUCAGUUACCAUUGAAAACUAUACCCCAUUAAUAGAACUAUCUCAGUGUUAGAUACCAGAGCACUUUGUGAAAUUCUUGAAUUUCCCAGGGAAGAAGCCAGAAAUUUGUACAAGUGUUCUGAAAUCAACCAAAGCUUCUGUGAAAAUUUAUACUUUGUUUUGCAUCAGAAAACUCACUCAGGAGAGAAAAUGUAUAAAUGUGAUGCCUAUGGGAAGAUUUUCAGUCAUAGACCAAAUCUGAGUAUGCAGAGAAGAAUCCAUAUUGGCGAGAAGGGCCUUACAGUUGUGCAGAGUGCAGGAGCAGCUUCCACCAGCACUCACAUCUGACUCAGCACAUGCAUGUCCACGUAAAGGAGAAACCCUACACAUGUGGCAUAUGUGGAAGAGGUUUUUUGUGGCUCCUGGCAUUAGCACAGCAUCCAAAAACCCAUGCUAACAAAAACAACAACAAGAAAAAGCCUGUGAAUGUACCAACUCUGGUAAAUAUUUUGGUCAGAAAACAAAUCUUGCUUUGCAUGAGAAGAUGCACACAUCAGCCACCUAGUCUCAGUAUAUUCGGUGCAUGAAAUGCUUGAGGCAGCCUCACUUCUUGUCCUCCCUGAAAAGGGCCACAAGGAUGACUCUGAACACUGCAGAGAUUGUGGGGAAAAUUUGUUUUUGUUCUCACAAUUCAAACUCUUAAAAAUAUCUUGAAUGUGCAAUGAGCUUUCUUCAUAUCUGAGUUUAUUUCUUUUU